rnacentral:rRNA from 1 species
AGAGUUUGAUCCUGGCUCAGAACGAACGCUAGCGGCGCGUUUUAAGCAUGCAAGUCGAACGGUAUUUUGGAUCUACUUUGUAGAUUUAAGAGAGAGUGGCGAACGGGUGAGUAACACGUAGGCAACCUACCUGUUGGACUGGGAUAGCUGGUGGAAACACCAGGUAAUACCGGAUACGUUUUCUGUAAGGGAUUGCAGAAAAGAAAGGUACGCGAGUGCCACCGACAGAGGGACCUGCGGCUGAUUAGCUUGUUGGUAAGGGUAAUGGCCUACCAAAGCGACGAUCAGUAGCCGGCCUGAGAGGGUGAACGGCCACACUGGGACUGAGACACGGCCCAGACUCCUACGGGAGGCAGCAGCUGAGAAUCUUCCGCAAUGGGCGAAAGCCUGACGGAGCGACGCCGCGUGGAUGAAGAAGGCCGUGAGGUUGUAAAAUUCUUUUAUUGCUGAGGAAUAAGUAUCGUGCGAAAGUGCGGUAUGAUGACGGUAAGCAAAGAAUAAGCCCUGGCUAAUUACGUGCCAGCAGCCGCGGUAAUACGUAAGGGGCAAGCGUUGUUCGGAAUUACUGGGCGUAAAGGGUAUGUAGGCGGAUAAGUAUGUUGAAUGUAAAAUUCUUAAGCUUAACUUAAGCAAGUCAUUCAAAACUAUUUGUCUGGAAUUUAGAUUAGGAAAGCGGAAUUUCUGGUGUAGGAGUGGAAUCUAUAGAUAUCAGUAAGAACACCGAUGGCGAAGGCAGUUUUCUGAUCUAAUAUUGACGCUGAUAUACGAAGGCCAGGGGAGCAAACGGGCUUAGAUACCCCGGUAGUCCUGGCAGUAAACGUUGUAUACUGGGUGUAUGAGGUAUCGAUCCCUCAUGUGCUGUAAGCUAACGCAUUAAGUAUACCGCCUGGGGAGUAUGCUUGCAAAAGUGAAACUCAAAGGAAUUGACGGGGGCCCGCACAAGCGGUGGAGCAUGUGGUUUAAUUCGACGCAACGCGCAGAACCUUACCAACCCUUGACAUGGAGAGUUUGAGUUCUAGAGAUAGAAUUCUUCAGUUCGGCUGGCUCUCACACAGGUGCUGCAUGGCUGUCGUCAGCUCGUGUCGUGAGAUGUUGGGUUAAGUCCCGCAACGAGCGCAACCCCUACUUUCAAUUGCCAUCAGGUAAUGCUGGGAACUUUGAAGGGACUGCCGGUGAUAAACCGGAGGAAGGCGGGGAUGACGUCAAGUCCUCAUGGCCCUUACGGGUUGGGCUACACACGUGCUACAAUGGCACCCACAAUGGGUAGCUAGGUCGCAAGGCCGUGCUAAUCUCAAAAAGGUGCCUCAGUUCGGAUUGUACUCUGCAACUCGAGUGCAUGAAGUCGGAAUCGCUAGUAAUCGUAGAUCAGCGUGCUACGGUGAAUACGUUCUCGGGCCUUGUACACACCGCCCGUCACACCAUGGGAGUGGGUUGCAAAAGAAGUAGGUAGCUUAACCUUCGGGAGGGUGCUUACCACUUUGUGAUUCAUGACUGGGGUGAAGUCGUAACAAGGUAGCCGUAGGGGAACCUGCGGCUG